rnacentral:rRNA from 1 species
UACGUAGGGUGCGAGCGUUAAUCGGAAUUACUGGGCGUAAAGCGUGCGCAGGCGGUUUUGUAAGCCAGAUGUGAAAUCCCCGGGCUUAACCUGGGAAUGGCAUUUGGGACUGCAAGGCUGGAGUACGGCGGAGGAGACUGGAAUUCCUGGUGUAGCAGUGAAAUGCGUAGAGAUCAGGAGGAAUACCGAUGGCGAAGGCAGGUCUCUGGGCUGAUACUGACGCUCAUGCACGAAAGCGUGGGGAGCAAACAGG